ACUGUUUUCUCGCUGACUUGAUAUGUCAACAAUGUAUGAUGAUACUAAUAAAUAAUUUCCACUUGUGAAUGUGUAAUCAAUUAUAAGUGCGCGUGAUUCACCCGGCGAAAACGCGUGAUACUCUCUUAUUCCAAAUUAUGGACAAAUAUUGUAGUGGAUGUAUUGCCAGAGUAAAACAGGGACCAAGGGAUCAAUGAGUAAAACAAAGACAGAUGAAUCCACCGAUGGAUAGCAAGAAAGUGGGGGAAAGUCUGGAUGCCUGGAUCAAGGUUACUCUCGAGCAUGGCCACUACGUCAUUGUUCGGGAAGUAUAUCGUACGCGUGUGCAACUCUCCAUGUGUUUGUUAUUACUCUAAAAUAUACAAGUAUAUUCUGCCUAAGACUAGUAUUAGUGAGAUGAAUGCUAGAACUUACUUGGUGUGUUUUUGUAUGAAUAAAAUUUUUUGUUUCUGGACAACAUAUUUAGCAUAGGUUCAUAUUAUGUAUGUAUUAGUGUUAAGUAUUAUACUACACUACACUCAUGAAGUAAUGAGUAAUAUGAUUAAUGAUUGUAUGUAAAAUUAAAAAAUAAUGAUUAUAAAUACAUUGUAUUUGUAUGUGACUAUA